AGCGGCGUGGCUCAGUGGAAAGAGCACGGGCUUGGGGGGGUCAGAGGUCAUGGGUUCGAAUCCCGGCUCUGCCA
rnacentral:tRNA from 1 species